rnacentral:sRNA from 1 species
UUCCUUCCUUCCUUCCUUCCUUCCUUCCUUCCUUCCUUCCUCUCUCUCUCUUUCUUUCUUUCUUUCUUUCCUUCUUGACAGGGUCUCCCUGUAGCCAGGCUGGUCUCGAACUCCUAGACUCAAGCAAUCUGCCCACCUCAGCCUCCCAAAGUGCUGGGAUGAUAGGCAUGAGCCACCGCACCCAGCCUAUCUCCUAGAUCUUGAAUCAAAAAUAAAAUGUAAAUCACUUCCAUUCUGCUAGCAUGAGGGUUUGUUGCUAAAAUUGAGGAUUCUAGCUGACGUUUACUUUUUGUUGUUUUUUGAGACAAGGUCUUGCUUCGUCACCCAUGCUGGAGUGCAGUGGCAUCAUUAUAACUCACUGUCAAACUCGUGGACUCCAAUGUUCCCUCCCCUUUUAGCCUCCCAAGUAGCUGGGUCUACAGGCAUGAACCAUCAGGCCCAGAUAAUUAAAAAAACUUUUUUUGGUGAAAACAUGAUCUUGCUGUGUUGCUCAGGCUGGUUGUCUGGCAUUUUCUUUGUCCUUUAUUCUUUAUACUAGCUAAACCCUGGAGUAUCCUUGAAGCCUUUACUGGCAUACAGAGUACCUGAAUCUUACUUUGGAGCCUAGCAUGGGUCAUAAAUAUAUCUGAUUCAUUAACUUGUGAGACAGCUGAGAGAACACAGACUCCUUACCUGUAUCUCUAGGCAUAUCUGGUUUUUCUCUGCCUAAUAGAUUUUCCUGCUUUCUAGUUAGUAAUAUUGAGAAAGAAGAAAGGCUUAUUUAUCAUUUGCUUUUUUUCCACUGUGAAUCAUCAGUUCUUUCCAUGAACAUUCUGGGGAGCACCUCCUGAUUAAACUCCUGUCUCCCUGACCACUAUCCUGCUGUCAUUGGACUUCUUGAAGCACAUGGGCUACUGCCCCAGGACACUGGGAUUUGAGAGGAGUUUAGUGGUAAUUGUCAGGUCUUUCAAAGCAUUUAUUAUUCCUUUUAUACAGAGAUUUCAGUAUUGAGACUUAAAAUGAACUGAAAAAUGA